rnacentral:rRNA from 1 species
AACGUAAGGGGCGAGCGUUGUCCGGAAUUACUGGGCGUAUAGAGCACGUAGGCGGCUGAGUAAGCGAUAGGUGAAAUCCCAUGGCUCAACCAUGGAAUGGCUUGUCGAACUGCUCAGCUUGAGCACGGGAGAGGGUAGUGGAAUUCCUGGUGUAGCGGUGGAAUGCGUAUAUAUCAGGAGGAACACCGGUGGCGAAGGCUGCUACCUGGAACGUUGCUGACGCUGAGGUGCGAAAGCUAGGGGAGCAAACAGGAUUAGAUACCCCCGUA